UGGGGAAUAUUGGACAAUGGGCGCAAGCCUGAUCCAGCCAUGCCGCGUGAGUGAUGAAGGCCCUAGGGUUGUAAAGCUCUUUCACCGGUGAAGAUAAUGACGGUAACCGGAGAAGAAGCCCCGGCUAACUUCGUGCCAGCAGCCGCGGUAAUACGAAGGGGGCUAGCGUUGUUCGGAUUUACUGGGCGUAAAGCGCACGUAGGCGGACUAUUAAGUCAGGGGUGAAAUCCCGGGGCUCAACCCCGGAACUGCCUUUGAUACUGGUAGUCUUGAGUUCGAGAGAGGUGAGUGGAAUUCCGAGUGUAGAGGUGAAUUUCGUAGAUAUUCGGAGGAACACCAGUGGCGAAGGCGGCUCACUGGCUCGAUACUGACGCUGAGGUGCGAAAGCGUGGGGAGCAAACAGG
rnacentral:rRNA from 1 species